rnacentral:rRNA from 1 species
GACGAACGCUGGCGGCGUGCCUAACACAUGCAAGUCGAGCGAAGUUAUUCCUUCGGGGAUAACUUAGCGGCGGGCGGGUGAGUAACACGUGGGUAACCUGCCUUAUAGAGGGGGAUAGCCUUCCGAAAGGAAGAUUAAUACCGCAUAACAUCAGAUUCUCGCAUGGGGAUUUGAUUAAAGGAGUAAUCCGCUAUAAGAUGGACCCGCGGCGCAUUAGCUAGUUGGUGAGGUAACGGCUCACCAAGGCGACGAUGCGUAGCCGACCUGAGAGGGUGAUCGGCCACAUUGGGACUGAGACACGGCCCAGACUCGUACGGGAGGCAGCAGUGGGGAAUAUUGCACAAUGGGGGAAACCCUGAUGCAGCAACGCCGCGUGAGUGAUGAAGGCCUUCGGGUUGUAAAGCUCUGUCUUUGGGGACGAUAAUGACGGUACCCAAGGAGGAAGCCACGGCUAACUACGUGCCAGCCGCCGCGGUAAGAC